GUGCUCGCUUCGGCAGCAUAUAUAGUAAAAUUGGAAAGACACAGAGAUUAGCAUGGCCCCUGCACAAGGAUGACACGCAAAUUCGUGAAGCAUUCCGUUUUUUU